CCUACGGGCGGCUGCAGUGGGGAAUAUUGGACAAUGGGCGAAAGCCUGAUCCAGCCAUGCCGCGUGUGUGAAGAAGGCCUUCGGGUUGUAAAGCACUUUCAGUGGGGAAGAAAGCCUUGGGGCUAAUACCCUCGGGGAAUGACAUCACCCACAGAAGAAGCACCGGCUAACUCCGUGCCAGCAGCCGCGGUAAUACGGAGGGUGCGAGCGUUAAUCGGAAUUACUGGGCGUAAAGCGCGCGCAGGCGGUCUGAUAAGCCGGUUGUGAAAUCCCCGGGCUCAACCUGGGAACGGCAUCCGGAACUGUCAGGCUAGAGUGCAGGAGAGGAAGGUAGAAUUCCCGGUGUAGCGGUGAAAUGCGUAGAGAUCGGGAGGAAUACCAGUGGCGAAGGCGGCCUUCUGGACUGACACUGACGCUGAGGUGCGAAAGCGUGGGUAGCAAACAGGAUUAGAUACCCCGGUAGUC
rnacentral:rRNA from 1 species